UUUUAAUUUAAUAAUGGUAAAAGUAUGUGAACAUCUUGAUUUUACACUUACUCUCUACCUUACAAUUAUUUGUAUAUAUAUAUAUAUAUAUAUACAGUAUAUAUGCUCCUCAACUCUUGGAUUUUGUAUCUUUCGAAUUUAAUUUAAUUUUUUUAUAUUAUUUGUUCUUAUAGUAAUUUUUCUAAAUUUAAGCAUUUUGUGCAGUGAUUUUAAUUUAUUUAAUAUGUGGACUGAAAAUAGUUCUUGUUUUUCUCACUUGAAUUCACCUGAAGAAUGUUUUAAAUGAACAUUUUAAAUAAUUCUCUAUCACUUUGUAUAUGGUCUAAUUAAAUUAUGUUAAGUAAGAAAAGUAAAUUGGUUUAAGAUAUUUACUAUUAAUCAUAAAUUUAUCAAGAUACAGAAUAACAGCCUACUUCUACACCUAUUCUACAAAGUUACCUAUUAUGUUGAUUUUACUGGAAACAAGAUUUAACAAAAGAUUAUAGGAAAAGACCUAAAUACAGAAAAUUACUGGAAACUCCAUUUAUUAAGAAAUACGAAACACUCGAUGUCGACGUAGCAGCAUGGUUUGCCGUCGUCAUGGCUUCAACUCAAACGCCGAGACCAUCGAGGCACUUUAGGCAUUUCUGACAUUGCUCGAAAUAUAAACAUUGUGUUUGUAGAAAUGUUAAACUAUAUAAUGAUUUAUCAACUUGUUGGAGGAAUUCAUUAAUUAUCGAAGAGACCAUCAGAGCCGAAGAGGGAAGUUAUUUCUCCGAUAUUCUACUAAAAGUUAUGUUUAGGUUAUAGAAGUUAAUUUAAUUAACUUAUAUGUAUUGAUCAUGAAUUUCUAUAUUGCUGCCUUGAAAAUUCUGAUCUCUACAAAUAAAAUUAACUUCAUUUUAAAA